rnacentral:rRNA from 1 species
UCCGUAAGGGGCGAUCGUUGUUCGGAAUUAUUGGGUGUAAAGGGCGCGUAGGCGGCUUGGCAAGUCUGGUGUGUAAGGCUACAGCUUAACUGUAGUUAGGCGCUGGAAACUGCGAGGCUAGAGUGCAGGAGAGGGAGCUGGAAUUCCAGGUGUAGGGGUGAAAUCUGUAGAGAUCUGGAAGAACACCGGUGGCGAAGGCGAGCUCCUGGUCUGUAACUGACGCUGAGGCGCGAAGCGUGGGGAGCGAACAGG